CAGCUCCUGCCUUGCAGUUAGUUUCUCACCACUGCUUUCAUUGUGGCCCUCGGUCUGCACACAGAAAAUUCAUCCAACACCUGGGCCUUCACACUUCAUCAACCCCUCACCUUCAAAGAUUCUGUCCUGCUUCAGAACAGCCACUCUUUUUCCGUGAGCACCACCACCUGCCAUUCCAGCUCUGUUCAUCCACUCCAGCAUUUCCCCGACUCUGUGGGGACCACCACAUUUUCUUUCCCAUGCAAUCCCCGCCUGUCCUCAUUCUCUUCUCACCCAGAGGGGUCCUAAGGCUCAAUCAACUCCCUUGAGUCUUUUUUUUUUUUUUUAAGAUUUUAUUUUUUUAUUUAUUCAUGAGAGAGAGAGAGAGAGAGAGAGGCAGAGACGCAGGCAGAGGGAGAAGCAGGCUCCAUGCAGGGAGCCCGAUGUGAGACUCAAUCCCAGGACCCCAGGAUCACGCCCUGGGCCAAAGCCAGGCACCAAACCGCUGAGCCACUCAGGGAUCCCAGCUCCCUUGAUUCUAUUUCUCCCUGUCCUCAUUGUUUGACAGUCUUAAUCUAGGUUAAGGCCAGUAUUUCACCUGCAUUAACUUGAUGGUUAAAUCUAUCAUUUUUUUCUCAGAUCCAAAAUAAGGCAAACAUUUCCAUUCUCAAAAAAAAAAAAAAAAAAAAAAAAAGAAAAACC